UUUAAUUUUUGACGAUGGGGUUGGUGAGGCGAACUAAAGGUCCGAGAAAAAAAGCAAAGGAGAUUUGAAGGGGUGCAAAGCUUUUGGGCAGACGAAGAUGACUUGAUGUAUUUUUAGUUUAUUUACCUCCUUGGAUGGAUGAUGGACUUAUAUAACAUUUGAUUGUUGAACUUUAUAAUAUUUUCUAGAAGCUUGAACAAGAUAGAUCUUGUAAAAUUUGUUGAGAUCUUUAUAUUUGUUGAAUUAUGAGUUGAUCGAGUUCAAUUAUUACUCUUGUAUGUGAAAUUAAGAUGUGUUGAAUGUAUAUAAAUGUUAUUUGAA